rnacentral:rRNA from 1 species
UGCUAUGGCCAUGCCGCCCUGAACAAGCCCGAUCCUGUCUGAUCUCGGAAGCUAAGCAGGGUCAGGCCUGGGUAGUACUUGGAUGGGAGACCACUUAGGAAGACCACGUGCUGUAGGCG